AAACCAACAGGGAUUGCCUUAGUAGCGGCGAGUGAAGCGGCAAUAGCUCAAAUUUGAAAUCUGGCACCUUCGGUGUCCGAGUUGUAAUUUGAAGAAGGUAACCUUGGUAUUGGCUCUUGUCUAUGUUCCUUGGAACAGGACGUCACAGAGGGUGAGAAUCCCGUGCGAUGAGAUGUCCAAUGCCAUGUAAGGUGCUUUCGACGAGUCGAGUUGUUUGGGAAUGCAGCUCUAAGUGGGUGGUAAAUUCCAUCUAAAGCUAAAUAUUGGCGAGAGACCGAUAGCGAACAAGUACAGUGAUGGAAAGAUGAAAAGAACUUUGAAAAGAGAGUGAAAAAGUACGUGAAAUUGUUGAAAGGGAAGGGCUUGAGAUCAGACUCGAUAUUUUGUGGACCUAGCCUUCGUGGCGAGGAGCCAAACACAGCUUAUCGGGCCAGCAUCGGUUUUGGCGGCAGGAUAAUGGCGUAGGAAUGUGGCUUGACUUCGGUGAA
rnacentral:rRNA from 1 species